UACGUAGGGGGCGAGCGUUGUCCGGAUUUAUUGGGCGUAAAGAGCGUGUAGGCGGCCAGGUAGGUCUGCUGUGAAAACUCGAGGCUCAACCUCGAGACGUCGGCGGAAACCAUCUGGCUAGAGUCCGGAAGAGGAGAGUGGAAUUCCUGGUGUAGCGGUGAGAUGCGCAGAUAUCAGGAAGAACACCCGUGGCGAAGGCGGCUCUCUGGGACGGUACUGACGCUGAGACGCGAAAGCGUGGGGAGCGAACAGG
rnacentral:rRNA from 1 species